rnacentral:rRNA from 1 species
GACGAACGCUGGCGGCGUGCUUAUCACAUGCAAGUCGAACGGAAAGGCCCUGCUUUUGUGGGGUGCUCGAGUGGCGAACGGGUGAGUAACACGUGAGUAACCUGCCCUUGACUUUGGGAUAACUUCAGGAAACUGGGGCUAAUACCGGAUAGGAGCUCCUGCUGCAUGGUGGGGGUUAGAAAGUUUCGGCGGUUGGGGAUGGACUCGCGGCUUAUCAGCUUGUUGGUGGGGUAGUGGCUUACCAAGGCUUUGACGGGUAGCCGGCCUGAGAGGGUGACCGGCCACAUUGGGACUGAGAUACGGCCCAGACUCCUACGGGAGGCAGCAGUGGGGAAUAUUGCACAAUGGGCGGAAGCCUGAUGCAGCAACGCCGCGUGCGGGAUGACGGCCUUCGGGUUGUAAACCGCUUUCGCCUGUGACGAAGCGUGAGUGACGGUAAUGGGUAAAGAAGCACCGGCUAACUACGUG